AUUGAACGCCGGCGGCAUGCUUUACACAUGCAAGUCGAACGGCAGCACGGGUGCUUGCACCUGGUGGCGAGUGGCGGACGGGUGAGUAAUACAUCGGAACGUAUCCAGAAGAGGGGGGAUAACGCAUCGAAAGAUGUGCUAAUACCGCAUAUUCUCUGAGGAGGAAAGCAGGGGAUCGAAAGACCUUGCGCUUUGGGAGCGGCCGAUGUCUGAUUAGCUAGUUGGUGGGGUAAAGGCCUACCAAGGCGACGAUCAGUAGUUGGUCUGAGAGGACGACCAGCCACACUGGGACUGAGACACGGCCCAGACUCCUACGGGAGGCAGCAGUGGGGAAUUUUGGACAAUGGGCGCAAGCCUGAUCCAGCAAUGCCGCGUGAGUGAAGAAGGCCUUCGGGUUGUAAAGGCUCUUUCUAGUCGAGAAGAAAAAGACU
rnacentral:rRNA from 1 species